CUGGUAUGUACCGGCUUUACUGAUUCCUCCUUCUUGAAGAACUGUAAUGCCAUUUAUUUGGUGCUGCAGGGAAUCAGGACUUGUUACUUUGAAAAAAUUAGAGUGUUUAAAGCAGGCUAACGCUUGAAUACAUUAGCAUGGAAUAAUAAAAUAGGACGUAACGAUCCUAUUUUGUUGGUUUCUAGGAUUGACGUAAUGAUUAAUAGGGAUAGUUGGGGGCAUUAGUAUUCAAUUGUCAGAGGUGAAAUUCUUGGAUUUAUUGAAGACUAACUACUGCGAAAGCAUUUGCCAAGGAUGUUUUCAUUAAUCAAGAACGAAAGUUAGGGGAUCGAAAACGAUCAGAUAUCGUCGUAGUCUUAACCAUAAACUAUGCCGACUAGGGAUCGGAUGAUGUUAAUUCUUUAAUGACCC
rnacentral:rRNA from 1 species